CCUACGGGAGGCAGCAGUGGGGAAUCUUGCGCAAUGGGCGAAAGCCUGACGCAGCCAUGCCGCGUGAAUGAUGAAGGUCUUAGGAUUGUAAAAUUCUUUCACCGGGGACGAUAAUGACGGUACCCGGAGAAGAAGCCCCGGCUAACUUCGUGCCAGCAGCCGCGGUAAUACGAAGGGGGCUAGCGUUGCUCGGAAUUACUGGGCGUAAAGGGAGCGUAGGCGGAUAGUUUAGUCAGAGGUGAGAGCCCAGGGCUCAACCUUGGAAUUGCCUUUGAUACUGGCUAUCUUGAGUGUGGGAGAGGUAUGUGGAACUCCGAGUGUAGAGGUGAAAUUCGUAGAUAUUCGGAAGAACACCAGUGGCGAAGGCGACAUACUGGCCCAUUACUGACGCUGAGGCUCGAAAGCGUGGGGAGCAAACAGGAUUAGAUACCCUGGUAGUCCACGCUGUAAACGAUGAGUGCUAGUUGUCGGCAGGCAUGCCUGUCGGUGACGCNGCUACGCAUUAAGCACUCCGCCGUCGGGGAGGUACGGUCGCGAGAUUAAACUACGAAAGAAGUUAGACGGCGUGAGACGUGCCGACGGACGACGACGAGGGAGGUUAGG
rnacentral:rRNA from 1 species